GCGGCAGCAGCCUGCCUGCGCUCAGGGUUCACUACACCAUAGACAGGUGUGACUUCAUCUGAAUGAGGACUGAAUGAGAAUUACACAAACCAGUCUGUGUAGUUUAUCCUGAGCUCUGUGAGGUGUCAGCUGCCUCUCAGCCGUCUGUCCACUCCACUUUCAAACCAUUCAGAAGUUUCAAAUCUUUGUUGGCAACUUGAGAGAGCACUGUUCUGUUAGACCUCUUGUAUCUGUGAUGAUACAUUAGGGUAGCGUCUGCAUUGAAAUAGCAGCUAUGGAAAGAAGCAUGAAUUUUGACGAGAUUCUUUCUCAUAUCGGUGGCUUUGGCAAGUUCCAGAAGAUCUUGUAUGUGUGGAUUUGCCUCCCCCAGGUCCUGCUGGCGUUCCACAUGCUGAUAUCGGUCUUCACGGGGGCUGUCCCCCCUCAUCUCUGUCGCUCCAGCAACACCACCUGGGCCUUGGCCGCCAGCUCAGACGCAUUCAACUUCAGCCUGGUUACGGGCCCAGACGGUGACCCUGACCUGUCCUGCUCUGCCCCUGGGGGGGUCCCUAGCACCCCGCUAGCCCAGUUGAAUCACAGUACCGCCCUGGCCCUUAGCGAUGACCACGUCACCGGGGUUUGUCAAGGGGGAUGGGAAUUCAGCAAAGAGACCUUCCACAGCACCGUAGCAACCGAGUGGGAUCUGGUGUGUGAUAAUGCCAAUCUGAACAACAUUGGUUCCUCAAUCUACAUGUUUGGUCUUCUGGUCGGCGCCGUGCUGUUUGGUUCCUUAGCUGAUAAGUUUGGACGCAGGAACAUCAUCCUGGUUGGUUUGACUAUCCAGUCAACCUUUGGGGUUGGUGCUGCUUUUGCCCCAAAUUUCUACAUUUAUGUCUUUCUGCGCUUUGUGGUUGGAACAACUAUUUCAGCUGUCAUCAUGAACGCAUUUGUUUUAGGCACAGAGUGGACAGGAUCAAAGCACCGGAUGCUAGCUGGGAUCAUCACAGACUACUUCUUUGGAUUCGGCUACAUCACCCUGGCAGGCCUGGCCUACCUCAUCAGAGACUGGCGUAAGCUCCAACUGGCCAUCUCAGCACCAGGCUUCCUCUUCAUCUUCUACAUCUGGGUCCUACCCAAGUCGGCUCGGUGGCUAAUGGCCAACCAGAGGAACGAGGAGGCCAUGGAUCUGAUCAGGAAAGCUGCUCUGAUGAACGGCAAACCCCUGCAGGAGGACAUAGAGAUACAUCAGGGGUACAACGAUAUGGUGAAGAUGGAGGAGAGGAAAAAGGACACAGUCAUUGACCUGGUCCGUACGCCAAAAAUGAGGAGGAAUUCAUGUAUCAUGUUUUACCUGUGGUUUGUCAACGUGCUGGUCUACUAUGGCCUGUCCCUGAACAUCUCUGACUUUGGGAUGAACAUCUACCUGACCCAGCUGAUCUUUGGCCUGGUGGAGAUGCCCGCCAGGACCAUCACCCUCUUUACACUGAACCGCUCCAGGAGGAUAUCCCAGCUAGCCUUCCUCGCUGUGGGAGGCCUGGCCUGCCUGCUAACCAUCUUCAUUCCUGAUGGUAUGGACCAUCCCAUAGAAAACUCUGCUGGGUGUCAAUACGGCUUUAAGACGUUUAAACACACCCUGAGCUACAUGACGAGUUACAGUAUCCUCCUGGCCCUGAAAAGACUUCAGUUGACUUGAAUUAAGUUGUUUACCAGUGUAAUUAAACCAUGGCGGUCCUUGAAUGAUGUCAUAGUUAUGUAGUUUUAUAGCCUUGUUUAUAAGUACUUAGCUAGUAGUCAAUGGAAAGUCUUUGUGGCUUGGAACUUGGCUUAUGUUCGAAACUGAAAAUCUUAUGCAAGCCACAUUUAAAUGUUACAUAACUAGCUCCUUUUGUAAUAACCAGAGUUUGUUACUGACGUAACCUCCUGGGUGUAGAGUUGUUAUUAAAUCCCACCGGGGCCCUCAUGGAAGUCAUGUCAGCCGUACACUUGAAGACACUACCUUAGGUGGUUACGGUCUCCAGUAGGAUCUACACUACCUUAGGUAGUUACGUUCCCCAGUAGGAUCUACACUACCUUAGGAGGUUACGGUCUCCAGUAGGAUCUACACUACCUUAGGAGGUUACGGUCUCCAGUAGGAUCUACACUACCUUAGGUGGUUACGGUCUCCAGUAGGAUCUACACUACCUUAGGUAGUUACGUUCCCCAGUAGGAUCUACACUACCUUAGGUGGUUACGGUCUCCAUUAGGAUCUAAACUACCUUAGGUGGUUACGGUCUCCAGUAGGAUCUACACUACCUUAGGUAGUUACGUUCCCCAGUAGGAUCUACACUACCUUAGGAGGUUACAGUCUCCAGUAGGAUCUACACUACCUUAGGAGGUUAUGUUCUCCAGUAGGAUCUACACUACCUUAGGAGGUUACGGUCUUCAUUAGGAUCUACACUACCUUAGGAGGUUACGGUCUCCAGUAGGAUCUACACUACCUUAGGAGGUUACGGUCUCCAUUAGGAUCUACACUACCUUAGGAGGUUACGGUCUCCAGUAGGAUCUACACUACCUUAGGAGGUUAUGGUCUCCAGUAGGAUCUACACUACCUUAGGAGGUUACGGUCUCCAUUAGGAUCUACACUACCUUAGGAGGUUACGGUCUCCAGUAGGAUCUACACUACCUUAGGAGGUUACGGUCUCCAGUAGGAUCUACACUACCUUAGGAGGUUACGGUCUCCAUUAGGAUCUACACUACCUUAGGAGGUUACGGUCUCCAUUAGGAUCUCCACUACCUUAGGAGGUUACGGUCUCCAGUAGGAUCUACACUACCUUAGGAGGUUACGGUCUCCAGUAGGAUCUACACUACCUUAGGAGGUUACGGUCUCCAGUAGGAUCUACACUACCUUAGGAGGUUACGGUCUCCAUUAGGAUCUACACUACCUUAGGAGGUUACGGUCUCCAUUAGGAUCUACACUACCUUAGGAGGUUACGGUCUCCAUUAGGGUCUACACUACCUUAGGUAGUUACGGUAUCCAGUAGGAAUGCUGGAGAGUGAUUCACAGUAAUGUAACCUAGAGCUUCAGAUGCUAUACACAAAUAGCCUAGCUAUUUACCCGUUUAAUCUCUCCCCCAUCACUUCUCCCCCCCAUUUAAUCUCUAACCCCAUAAUUUUUCUCCCCCAUUCACCCCAUCACUAA